AGGUCUGUGGAAAAUACAGAAAACACAGGGAAGAUGAGAAAAUGACCUCAUUGAACUCUGAGAACUUAAGCAAACAAACAGCUUCGGCCAACAUACUACAUUCUUCUGCCCAAACAACAAAUUGACCUGAUGGAUAAACCUCACUGGAAUCACUGUUCUGAGGCUGCAGGCACAGCUAUUGAGGACAGCCCAGAUGCAAGCCAGGUCCCACUUCCAAAGCACAGAGUGGAUUAAAAGCAAAGUACAACCAAAAAGAAUAUCUGGAAAUCUGAAAAUAUGGAAGCAGAAUAACAAUCCAUCAAUGAAUGGAGGAUUCCUGCUGCUUCCCAGUAGUGCUGUUUCCAAAAGUGACUUAAA